AGUCAUGCAUCCUCUCACGCCUUCAUUUUUCUACAGUCACUUCCUGCAUGCUGGGCACUGUACCACGGGACGAGUGCUCAGAAGUGGGCUCACAUUUUUGAGCUAUUUGCCCACUUCACCUUCGGCCCCUUUUAAGCAGAUCCUCGGCUCCAGUUCUUCUCUUCAAGAAAGCAGUGACAGUGCAGAAAGCUGAGAGCCUCCUGAGAGCUUCAGCUUGCAAUCCCUGAAGUCUCAACACUUGGGAAGAACACAGAAGACUACAGGCAGCAGCGGAUGCGACCCUGAUGUGAACCCACAGAUUUGCAAAGACCACCAAAUGAAAUACUGAGAAGCACAGACCUGCAUUUUAAGAAGAUGACGCUCAACCUUCAGCCUGAAGCUUGCCCACAUCCUGGUCACCGCAGCUGCAGGGC